rnacentral:rRNA from 1 species
GGAAUCUUCCACAAUGGACGAAAGUCUGAUGGAGCAACGCCGCGUGAGUGAAGAAGGGUUUCGGCUCGUAAAACUCUGUUGUUAAAGAAGAACAUAUCUGAGAGUAACUGUUCAGGUAUUGACGGUAUUUAACCAGAAGGCCACGGCUAACUACGUGGCAG